CUGUAGCUACGGCCACAGAACCGGAAGUGGGGGUGGGACUAAUUAGGAAUGGCGGACACCACGUUGGCGCGGCUGUUUGAUGGUGUCUGUGGUCCUUUACUGACUUGGGCCUGCUGCUCACUUGAGGUGAAAACACAUGUUGACAUGACUAUAUUAAUGGCUGAGAGCUGCUGUAUUAAAGCACACCUGUGGCAUCACAACGACACGUUACAGAUGGGACGUCAUGCCCUGGCCAGCAUCGUGCAGCGCAGCGUUCAGGUUUAUUGUGUGUGCUCGACUCAGCAGGAGCAGCGUGUCUCUCCGCAUCAGAUCAGGAGCGAGUGUGAGCGUUUCUGACAGAGUGCUAGCAACUGCUGAGGGCGCUUUAUUGCUGAGACUGGCUGUUAUGGGUGUCACUAAUGCUGACUGUCCAAGAUGAAAGUUUGCUAAAACUUUCCAUUUAAGUGGCAGAUAACUUUUUGGCAGAAGUCUGAGUUUUAUCUAAUAUUUAUAAACAGAACAUUUCAAAGAAGUUCAUUAUUACAAGUUUUGGUAAUUGUGGAUGAAAACAAAUUAACUUGUGUAAAUUACAAACUUGAUGCACUUUUAGCCACUUGCACAAUAAACAGUUAAAAAGGAUCAUGGUGGGUCAUGGCAUUUAAAAGAAAAAGACUAUUCCAGUCAUUGAAAAUCAGGAAAUGUUUUUUUUUUUGUCCAAGUUAUGAAAUAUCAGGGAUUUUUGUUUGUCGUUGUGCAUUUAUUAACAACAUGUCUUGUUUUCUAUACUGUUUUUUUUUUUCAUUGUUUGAUGUGCUUUGCCUAUGGUUAGCUGUUCUCUGCAUAAAUCUCGCAACAUUUAUUCUUUCCCUUUUUGUCAACUAGAUGCCACUUAAGUCAAAUGCAGUCUUCUGUCAACAUGCAGUCACCUAUUAAAAUACUGGCUGUGGCUGAUUUUUGUCUGCUCAGUUCUGAACACA
rnacentral:lncRNA from 1 species